rnacentral:rRNA from 1 species
GACAGAGGGUGCAAACGUUGUUCGGAAUUACUGGGCGUAAAGGGCGCGUAGGCGGCCUGCUAAGUCGAACGUGAAAUCCCCGGGCUCAACCCGGGAACUGCGUCCGAUACUGGCAGGCUUGAAUCCGGGAGAGGGAUGUGGAAUUCCAGGUGUAGCGGUGAAAUGCGUAGAUAUCUGGAGGAACACCGGUGGCGAAGGCGGCAUCCUGGACCGGUAUUGACGCUGAUGCGCGAAAGCCAGGGGAGCAAACGGG